rnacentral:rRNA from 1 species
CUAGUAACGGCGAGCGAAGCGGGAAGAGCUCAAAUUUGAAAGCUGGCGUCUUCGGCGUCCGCGUUGUAAUCUCGAGACGUGUUUUCCGUGCGGCUCUAUGGACAAGUCCCUUGGAACAGGGCAUCGUAGAGGGUGAAAAUCCCGUACUUGCCAUGGAAGUACCGUGCUUUGUGAUACACGCUCCAAGAGUCGAGUAGUUUGGGAUUGCUGCUCAAAGUGGGUGGUAGACUCCAUCUAAAGCUAAAUAUCGGGGAGAGACCGAUAGCGAACAAGUACCGUGAGGGAAAGAUGAAAAGCACUUUGGAAAGAGAGUUAAAAGUACGUGAAAUUGUCGAAAGGGAAGCACUUGAAGUCAGCCAUGCUGCUUGAGACUCAGCCUGGCUUUUGCUUGGUGUAUUUCUCGGUAGCAAGCCAGCAUUGGUUUGUGUCGUCGGAGAAGCGCAUGGGGAAUGUGGCAUCCUCGGAUGUGUUAUAGCCCUGUGCAGGAUACGACGACGUAGACCAAGGAACGCAGUGUGCCCUCUGGGCGGGUCUUCGGACACCUUCACA